UACGUAGGGAGCUAGCGUUGUCCGGAAUCAUUGGGCGUAAAGCGCGCGUAGGCGGCCCGGUAAGUCCGCUGUGAAAGUCAAAGGCUCAACCUUUGAAUGUCAGCGGAUACUGCCGGGCUAGAGUCCGGAAGAGGCGAGUGGAACUCCUGGUGUAGCGGUGGAAUGCGCAGAUAUCAGGAAGAACACCAACGGCGAAGGCAGCGCGCUGGGACGGAACUGACGCUGAGACGCGAAAGCGUGGGGAGCGAACAGG
rnacentral:rRNA from 1 species